CAAGUCGCACGGGACCCGCAAGGGUUCAGUGGCGAACGGGUGAGUAAUGUAUCGCUAAUGUGCCCCGGACUCUGGGAUAGCUGACCGAAAGGUCAGGUAAUACCAGAUGAUAUACCUUUGUCGCAUGGCAGAGGUCUCAAAGGUCCGCCGGUCUGGGAGCAGGCGAUAUCGUAUCAGGUAGUUGGUGAGGUAACGGCUCACCAAGCCGACGACGCGUAGCUGGUCUGAGAGGACGGCCAGCCACAUCGGGACUGAGACACUGCCCGGACUCCUACGGGGGGCUGCAGUAACGAAUCUUCCACAAUGCACGAAAGUGUGAUGGAGCGACGCCGCGUGUGGGACGAAGUCCUUCGGGAUGUAAACCACUGUCAGGGGUAAGAAAGUUCUGAUCUACCCCAGAGGAAGAGACGGCUAACUCUGUGCCAGCAGCCGCGGUAAUACAGAGGUCUCGAGCGUUAGGCGGAAUCACUGGGCUUAAAGCGCGUGUAGGCGGAUCGUUAAGUACCUUGUGAAAUCCCACGGCUUAACCGUGGAACUGCUGGGUAUACUGGCGGUCUUGUGCCAUCUAGGGGCCUGCGGAACAAACGGUGGAGCGGUGAAAUGCGUAGAUAUCGUUUGGAACGCCAAUGGUGAAAACAGCAGGCUGGGGAUGUGCAGACGCUGAGACGCGAAAGCCAGGGGAGCAAACGGGAUUAGAUACCCCGGUAGUCCUGGCCGUAAACGAUGUCGACUAGAUCGUAGCACCUCUGACGGUGUUAUGGUCGAAGCAAAAGUGCUAAGUCGACCGCCUGGGAAGUACGGUCGCAAGGCUAAAACUCAAAGAAAUUGACGGGGGCUCACACAAGCGGUGGAGCAUGUGGUUCAAUUCGAAGCAACGCGCAGAACCUUACCUGGGCUU
rnacentral:rRNA from 1 species